rnacentral:rRNA from 1 species
UACGUAGGGGGCUAGCGUUGUCCGGAAUCAUUGGGCGUAAAGCGCGUGUAGGCGGUCCGGUAAGUCCGCUGUGAAAGUCGGGGGCUCAACCCUCGGAUGCCGGUGGAUACUGUCGGGCUUGAGUACGGAAGAGGCGAGUGGAAUCCUGGUGUAGCGGUGAAAAUGCGCAGAUAUCAGGAGGAACACCAAUUGCGAAGGCAGCUCGCUGGGACGUUACUGACGCUGAGACGCGAAAGCGUGGGGAGCAAACAGG